rnacentral:rRNA from 1 species
AUUGAACGCUGGCGGCAGGCCUAACACAUGCAAGUCGAACGAGUGGCGGACGGGUGAGUAAUGUCUGGGAAACUGCCUGAUGGGGGGGGAUAACUACUGGAAACGGUGGCUAAUACCGCAUACCAUCGGAUGUGCCCAGAUGGGAUUAGCUAGUAGGUGGGGUAAAGGCUCACCUAGGCGACGAUCCCUAGCUGGUCUGCGAGGAUGACCGGCCACAUUGGACUGGAGACACGCUCCAGACCCCGCCGGAAGGCAGAAGUGGGGAAUAUUGCACAAGGGGCGCAAGCCUGAUGCAGCCAUGCCGCGUGUAGGAAGAAGGCUUUCGGGUUGUAAAGUACUUUCAGCGGGGAGGCGUUACCCGCAGAAGAAGCACCGGCUAACUCCGUGCCAGCAGCCGCGGUAAUAC